UACGUAGGGUGCGAGCGUUGUCCGGAAUUACUGGGCGUAAAGAGCUCGUAGGUGGUUUGUCGCGUUGUUCGUGAAAUUCCCUGGCUUAACUGGGGGCGUGCGGGCGAUACGGGCAGACUGGAGUACUGCAGGGGAGACUGGAAUUCCUGGUGUAGCGGUGGAAUGCGCAGAUAUCAGGAGGAACACCGGUGGCGAAGGCGGGUCUCUGGGACGUUACUGACACUGAGGCGCGAAAGCGUGGGGAGCGAACAGG
rnacentral:rRNA from 1 species